GCCUUUACUGACGCUAAAGCUCGAAGGUGCGGGUAUCGAACAGGAUUAGAUACCCUGGUAGUCCGCACGGUAAACGAUGGAUGCCCGCUGUUUGCGAUAUACUGUGAGCGGCCAAGAGAAAUCGUUAAGCAUCCCACCUGGGGAGUACGCCGGCAACGGUGAAACUCAAAGGAAUUGACGGGGGCCCGCACAAGCGGAGGAACAUGUGGUUUAAUUCGAUGAUACGCGAGGAACCUUACCCGGGCUUGAACUGCAGGAGAACGAUACAGAGAUGUUGAGGUCCUUCGGGACUCCUGUGGAGGUGCUGCAUGGUUGUCGUCAGCUCGUGCCGUGAGGUGUCGGCUUAAGUGCCAUAACGAGCGCAACCCUUUUCGUCAGUUGCCAUCAGGUGAAGCUGGGCACUCUGGCGAUACUGCCACCGUAAGGUGUGAGGAAGGUGGGGAUGACGUCAAAUCAGCACGGCCCUUACGUCCGGGGCUACACACGUGUUACAAUGGGGAGUACAGAGAGUCAACCGCCGGCAACGUCGGUUUAAUCAAGAAAGCUCUCCUCAGUUCGGAUUGGGGUCUGCAACCCGACCCCAUGAAGCUGGAUUCGCUAG
rnacentral:rRNA from 1 species